rnacentral:tRNA from 2 species
GCCGAGAUAGCUCAGUCGGUAGAGCAGGGGACUGAAAAUC